rnacentral:rRNA from 1 species
UGGCGAACGGGUGAGUAACACGUUGGUGAUCUGCCUUGCACUUCGGGAUAAGCCUGGGAAACUGGGUCUAAUACCGGAUAGGACCAUGCUUUAGUGUGUGUGGUGGAAAGUUUUUCGGUGCAAGAUGAGCCCGCGGCCUAUCAGCUUGUUGGUGGGGUAAUGGCCUACCAAGGCGACGACGGGUAGCCGGCCUGAGAUGGUGUACGGCCACAUUGGGACUGAGACACGGCCCAG